rnacentral:rRNA from 1 species
AGAGUUUGAUCAUGGCUCAGGACGAACGCUGGCGGCGUGCUUAACACAUGCAAGUCGAACGGGACUGCCCGAAUGAAGUUUCGAUGGAUUUGGGUAUGUUUAGUGGCGAACGGGUGAGUAACGCGUGAGUAACCUGCCUUGGAGAGGGGGACAACAGCCGGAAACGGCUGCUAAUACCGCAUGACGUCACGGGAGGGCAUCCUCUUGUGACCAAAGAUUUAUCGCUCUGAGACGGACUCGCGUCCGAUUAGAUAGUUGGUGAGGUAACGGCUCACCAAGUCGACGAUCGGUAGCCGGACUGAGAGGUUGAACGGCCACAUUGGGACUGAGAUACGGCCCAGACUCCUACGGGAGGCAGCAGUGAGGAAUAUUGGGCAAGUGGGCGACAAGCCUGACCCAGCAACGCCGCGUGAAGGAAGUAAGGUUUCGGAUUGUAAACUUCUUUUCUUCGGGACGAAGAAUGACGGUACCGAAGGAAUAAGCCACGGCUAACUACGUGCCAGCAGCUGC